rnacentral:rRNA from 1 species
CCUACGGGGGGCAGCAGUGGGGAAUAUUGGGCAAUGGAGGCAACUCUUACCCAGCAAUGCCGCGUGAAUGAAGAAGGUCUUCGGAUUGUAAAGUUCUUUAAUUGGGGACGAAAAAAAUGACGGUACCCAAGGAAUAAGCCCCGGCUAACUACGUGCCAGCAGCCGCGGUAAUACGUAGGGGGCAAGCGUUAUCCGGAUUUACUGGGUGUAAAGGGAGCGUAGACGGAUGGAUAAGUCUGAAGUGAAAGCCCGCGGCUCAACUGCGGGACUGCUUUGGAAACUGUGCAUCUUGAGUACGGGAGGGG